CGGAGUUUCACUCUGUCACCCAGUCUGGUGUGCAGUGGCACGAUCUCAGCUCACUACAACCUCCGCCUCCCAGGUUCAAGCAAUUCUCCUGCCUCAGCCUCCUGACUGGCUGGGACUACAGGUGCGUGCCACUACACCCAGCUAUUUUUUGCAUUUUUAGUAGAGACAGGGUUUUGCCACGUUGACCAGGCUGGUCUCGAACUCCAGACCUCAGGUGAUCUGACCGCCUCAGCCUCCCAAACUGCUGGGAUUAUAGGCAUGAGCCACUGCACCCACCUGUCAGGCCUCUGAGCCCAAGCUAAGCCAUCAUAUCCCCUGCCACCUGCACGUAUACAUCCAGAUGGCCUGAAGCAACUGAAGAUCCACAAAAGAGGUGAAAAUAGCCUUAACUGAUGACAUUCCAAAAUUGUGAUUUGUUUCUGCCCCACCCUAACUGAUCAAUGUACUUUGUAAUCUCCCCCACCCUUAAGAAGGUUCUUUAUAAUCUCCCCGACCCUUAAGAAGGUUCUUUGUAAUUCUCCCCACCCUUGAGAAUGUUCUUUGUGAGAUCCACCCCCUGCCCACAAAACAUUGCUCCUAACUCCACCGCCCAUCCCAAAACCUCUAAGAACCAAUGAUAAUCCCACCGCCCUUUGCAGACUCUCUUUUCAGACUCAGCCCGCCUGCACCCAGGUGAAAUAAACAGCCUUGUUGCUCACACAAAGCCUGUUUGGUGGUCUCUUCACACGAAUGCGUGAGACAUUUGGUGCCAAAGACCUGGGUCAGAGGGACUCCUUCAGGAGACCAGUCCCUUGUCCUCACCUUCACUCCGUGAAGAGAUCCACCUAUGACCUCAGGUCCUCAGACCAACCAGCCCAAGGAACAUCUCACCAAUUUCAAAUUGGCUCCUAAGAUCAGUGCUUGAGAUAUUUGCAGACCCUGCACUUGAUGGAUCAGCUGACACCACCCAGAUGGAUUAACUGGCUCAUCUGAUCUUGUGGUUCCCACCAAGGAACUGACUCAGAGCAAGAAGACAGCUUUGACUCCCUGUGAUUUUACCCCUGACCAAUCAGCACCCCCGGCUCACUGGCUUCCCCCAUCCACCAAGCUGUCCUUAGAAACUCUGCUCCCAGAAUGCUGGGGGAGACUGAUUUGAGUAACAAUAAAACUCUGG
rnacentral:lncRNA from 1 species